ACAGAUGGAGUCUUGCUAUGGCUGGUCUCAAACUCCUGGCCUCAAGUGAUCCUCCCACCUUGGCCUCCCGAAGCACUGGGAUUACAGAACAGUUUGCUGAUGCUUGCCCUCAAAGAUGGCAGAUCCACAGAUAGAAGGAGCCUGGUUUGUGAGUAGCAGCAUCGGAAGCUCAACAUGGAUGGCUGCUGGGAAUCUCCACGUGGGACUCUUCAUAAGGGAGAAAUCAACAGUUAGCACAGUCAUGGAAGACAGUCAAAUGGGUACUCAGCAAGUACCUUCCCAAGCUCCCUUGCAGGGAUGGUGGUCAUGUGACACAGAUCUGACCAAUGAGAUGUGAGCAUUGCUCUCCUCUCCCAGUGCAUUACCAGAAAUGGGAUCACAUUUGCAGAGCUGCACAGAGGGAUGCUUCAAGGAGAGGGGACGAUACUCGUCCAGGAUCUGGGAUUCCCAAACAUCCUUCUGGUCAGCCAGUAUAUGGAGCCGUUGUUAAGCUUUGGAAUCAGACUUCCUAGCAUGAGAACAGACGAAUACACUAACUAAUGGAGGAAUGACUUGAUUCAGAAAUGUAAAGAAAUGGGACGGCUUGCACCUCAGGAGUUCUAGAGCAGUUCCUGCCUGUGGCUCCAAUAAGAAUGUCAAGGUCACUGGAUUGCAUUUUAUGUGUUUUCUUUCCUAAUUUGAUUUUUGGAAUAGAUGCUGUGCUAUAUUUACAUCGCUCGAAAAUCAAAAUAACAUAAAAAGAUAUUUCCAAAAAGCACUAAUCUAUGUCAUCUCUCUGUCCAUUGUGUUCUCCUUCUGCUCGUAGAUGGUCACAUUUAGUACUUUGCUGUAUCUUCUUCCAGUGUUUUUUUUGUUUUGUUUUGUUUUAUUUUUUGACAGAGUUUUUGCUCGUUGUUCAGCCCUGAAUGCAAUGGUGUGAUCUUGGCUCACUGCAACCUCUGCCUCCUGGGUUCAGGUGAUUCCCCUGCCUUAGCUUUCUGAGUAGCUGGGAUUACAGGCGCCCGCCACCACAGCCGGCUAAUUUUUGUAAUUUUAGUGGAGACGAGGUUUCACCAUGUUGGCCAGGCUGGUCUCGAACUCUUGACCUCAGGUGAUACACCCACCUCAGCCUCCCAAAGUCCUAGGAUUACAGGCAUGAGCCACUGCACCUGGCCUUCCAGUUUUUGUUUUGUUUUGUUUUUAUUCAAAUACAAGCAACCGUGUGUGUGUGUGUGUGUGUGUGUGUGUGUGUGUGUGUGUGUGUGUGUGUAUUUAUGUUCCCCCUCCUUAAUUACACAACAGGUAGCAAACCCUACAUACUCUUCUAUAAGCUGUGUUGACGAAAAGAGUCAAACUGUAAAAUAUUUAAAGAGAUUUAUUCUG
rnacentral:lncRNA from 10 species